GUAUCUUGGACCCUAUCAAGACUGAAUUCGGAGCCAACAAUGCAAUGAUGGGUUUACUACAGACUGCGUUUAUUCUCAGCUACAUGGUAUUUGCACCUCUCUUCGGAUACCUAGGUGAUCGUUAUUCUCGGCGGUAUAUAAUGGCUGGUGGAGUAUUCUUGUGGUCCAUUUUUACUCUCAUUGGAUCCUUUAUGUCAGGACGCGAGGACCACAAGAUGUUGAUGUGGGGGAACCCUGAUUUCUGGGCGUUCCUUGGCUCCCGAGCUAUGGUUGGUAUUGGAGAAGCCAGCUACUCAACGAUAGCUCCGACUAUUAUCUCGGAUAUGUUUGUCAAGGAAGCCAGGAGCCAGAUGCUAGCUCUCUUCUACUUUGCUAUUCCAGUCGGAAGUGGACUCGGAUAUAUAGUUGGAUCUAAGGGAGCUGAACUGGCGGGAUCCUGGCAGUGGGGACUAAGAGCAACCCCUGUCGCUGGAAUAAUUGCGGUCAUCCUGAUCCUUGUUCUCCUUGAGGAUCCACCCCGAGGUCACAGUGAGGGACAUGAACAACUUCAAGCACAGUCUUACACUGAGGAUUUGGCCGGGUUGGGUCGGAAUAUGACUUUUGUUCUCUCCACCCUGGCGUUCACCUGCGUCACGUUCUGCACUGGAGCUCUCUCCUGGUGGGGUCCUGUCUUCAUUGAGAAGGCUGUACUCUCAGUACCCCCAGAUCAAAGAAUUCUGGAUCCAAGCAAGGUUGCUAUUGUAUUUGGAGCAGUAACUAUGAUGAGCGGAAUUAUUGGCGUUCCUCUUGGUAUGUUCCUCUCAACUAAACUCAAGGCUCGGUUUCCCCGCGCGGAUCCCAUUAUCUGUGGUUGUGGUAUUCUUAUCUCCGCUGUUCUCCUCACCCUUGGUAUGGUUGUCUGUCAGAAGAAUAUCAUCCUUGCGUUCAUUCUUCUCUUCCUCGGGGAAAUUGCGUUGAACCUGAACUGGAGUAUAGUAGCGGAUAUGCUACUGUACGUUGUUGUACCAACCUGUCGGAGUACAGCUGAAGCUGUGCAGAUCCUUUUCAGUCAUGCUUUCGGAGAUGCUGGAUCACCAUAUCUCAUUGGAGUGAUCGCUGACGGUUUAAAGAAUUUUCUCGACACUACGGGAGAUUUGUGCGUGAGCUCAGAAAUCCUCGGCGUGGAUCAGAUCUUGAACAGUACACAACUAGUUCCCGGUGAUUUCAACGCCACUGCGCUGCUGGAAGUUAGUGACGAUUUGUCAAAUAUGUUGGAAUCGUCAACAGUUUCAUAUCUUGGAAAUGUAACAUUACCAUGCGCACAGAUUGAAUAUUCGGCAAUGUUGUAUUCGUUGUUAACGAAUUCUGGAGUAGAAGUUAUCGGCGGUCUUCUCUUCUUCGUGUCGGCGAUUUUCCUUAUCAAAGAUAAACUUCUGUGUGAACAGGCGUCUAUGGAAUGUCGGCGAGAAAAUGGACAUGAAAUUAAACUCAUGCUUCCCUCCACUUCUCCUGAGGACAGCAUAGGUGGAGAUAUCCCGUCUGAUGACGAAUUGCCCCAGCUCGUGGACAAUAAUUCGUCCAGAUCUACUACUCCAGUUUAGUCCGGACGAACACUACCCCGCUCUAGUCCGGACGACCAAAGUUUCAUCGCCGAGCGGUCUGAGACUUUACGUUGGGUCCUUUAAAAAUUCCUUCAGUCCUUGGGUGCAAUGAUAAUGCUGUUUUUUGAGAGAAUUCGGCAUCACUCUGACAAACGUCACCGUUCUCUAAUAAAAUCUUAUAAAUUUGGUAAAUUUGGUAAAACUUUCCUACAAUAAUUUACUUACCAUGAUCAAUGAGUCAAAUUGAAUUAUUGUAAAUAUUGAUUAUUGCAAACCAUAGUCGCAGUUCUGUACAGACACAGUACUGAGUGUGAGUACACUGAGCAUUGUAUGUACAGUGUACACUGUCAUUGUAUAUGCACUUGUGUACUUAAGUAAAAUGAAUGUACACUGUACAGUUUUACACAGAAAGUACCUUCUAUUAUUGUAUAACGUAUAUAGUGGAUUGUAUUUUGCAUUGUACAAUUAUACAAUCUUGAACGUAUAGUUAUCCUGUACAGUGUACACGGAAUGUCAUUACGAUAUGUAAAAUAAUAUUAAUAUGUAUUGUGCAAUGUAUUUAGAAGUAAAGUUUUUUAAAAACUAAACCUUGAACCAGUUUUUCCAACCCCCAUAUAAUCUUUCUUCUGGCCAAAGAUUAGAUCUCAUGCUUUCGUGUUAAAAUUGGUGUUUGAUGUGAAACUUAAUGUGUAAAUUGUUACAUUUAGAAAAUUAUCUGUUUUAACGUAGAAUGAUAUUGAAAAUUGGAAAUAGUACAUUUUGAUGGUUAAUAUUUUUUCUUUAUUUUUACAUCGGCCUAACUUCUUGCGUUGUUUUAUUUCAAUUUGAUCUUAAUGUUUGGACCAGAUUUGAAUACGUCACACACAACAAAAUGAGAAAGAUUCUACGUUAUUUAAUGAUACUAAAUUACUAAAAGAGAAGUGGGAAAAUAGACUUUUUUGAGUAAUAUAUCAACUUUUUUCCCGUAUUAUGAAGUAGAAAUUGGAAAUAAACGUGAAAAAUUUUAAACUUAAAUCAAAUCAAUUUUUGUUUAAACUUUUUAAUUACAAAUUCAUCAGGAUUGAAUUCAAGAAGAAAACGAAAUUUCAAACCCGUUGAAAGUGAACAUAAAGGUUGAAACAUUGUUCUACAGGGUUGGUCCUCUUGUCAUUAUAUUAAAAAGAUCAUUCUACACGACCUUCUUUUUGGAAGGUUAUAUCUAAAAAAACUUAAAUUGUACUAAAUGUGAAUUUAAAAUUGUGAAUCGUGUCCUCUCCUGUGAUCCCGAUCAUUUGAUGUCGUAGUCAGCAAAACCUGCUCAGUUAAUAAUCACUAGUUUAGAUAUUUAAUUUUAUACAAAAUGUGUAAUAAUAUGGCGAUUAUAAUAAAUUCUCUUUUAUUUAAAUAUAAUUUAUCAUUUCAGAA